GCUCAGGAUGAACGCUAGCUACAGGCUUAACACAUGCAAGUCGAGGGGUAGCAGGGUAGCAAUACCGCUGACGACCGGCGCACGGGUGAGUAACACGUAUCCAACCUUCCCAUAACUCGGGGAUAGCCUUUCGAAAGAAAGAUUAAUACCCGAUAGUACUUUUUUAGGGCAUCUUAAAAAAGUUAAAGAUUUAUUGGUUAUGGAUGGGGAUGCGUUCCAUUAGAUAGUUGGUGAGGUAACGGCUCACCAAGUCUUCGAUGGAUAGGGGUUCUGAGAGGAAGGUCCCCCACAUUGGUACUGAGACACGGACCAAACUCCUACGGGAGGCAGCAGUGAGGAAUAUUGGUCAAUGGGCGAGAGCCUGAACCAGCCAA
rnacentral:rRNA from 1 species